ensembl:lncRNA
ACAACAGUGUUACCCUUUAUGUUUUUUUUCAUGACGACCAAUAAAAAACAACAGUGUUACCCCUUAUGUUGUUUUCAUGAAGACCAAUAAAAAACAACAGUAUUGGUCAUCAUUUUUUCAUGAUGACCAAUAAAAAAAAAACAGUGUUACCCCUUAUGUUUUUUUCAUGACGACCAAUAAAAAACAAGUGUUACCCCUUAUGUUUUUUUCAUGACGACCAAUAAAAAACAGCAGUGUUACCCCUUAUGUUUUUUUCAUGACGACCAAUAAAAAACAACAGUGUUACCCCUUAUUGUUUUUAUCAUGACGACCAAAGAAAAACAACGGUGUUACCCCCUAUGUUUUAUUUGAUAAAUAUCGACAAUGUUACCCCUUAUGUAUAUUUCAUGACGGCCGAUAAAAAGCGACAGAGUAACCCCUCAUGUUUUUUCCAUGUUGACCAAUAUAUGACUACGUUCCAUGUUGACCCUGUCGACGUUUUUGCAGGGAUCCGAACCUCAGCUGUUUAGAGUUUUAACCUCCGAACUUAUCAAUGCACCAUCAAGACACAGAAUAAAUUCAUCACAAUGGUUAUACUUGACUUUAUAAUUCGCAUGAAAUAGAAAUAAGAGACUAUCAACAGGGGACAUCAACCGGUCUUGAACACCGGUCUCCAGGGGGGGUUAGCUCACAGCUACCCACUGAUAAUUGUAUGAGUGCACUCCACUGCACCACUGAGGCGAUGACAAUACACCAUAAUCAAUCAGCAAUAAUGACGAUAUACAUGAAAUUAAAAUGCAUGUGUGUAUUUCUAUUAUUUCCCUUAUGUUUUUUUUCAUGACGACCAAUAAAAAACAACAGUGUUACCCCUUAUGUUUUUUUCAUGACGACCAAUAAAAAACAACAGUGUUACCCCUUAUGUUUUUUUCAUGACGACCAAUAAAAAACAACAGUGUUACCCCUUAUGUUGUUUUCAUGACGACCAAUAAAAAACAACAGUGUUACCCCUUAUGUUUUUUUCAUGACGACCAAUAAAAACAACAGUGUUACCCCUUAUGUUUUUUUCAUGACGACCAAUAGAAAACGACAGUGUCACCCCUUGUUUUUUUCAUGACGACCAAUAAAAUACAACAGUGUUACCCCUUAUGGUUUUUUUCAUGACGACCAAAGAAAAACGACAGUGUCACCCCUCAUGUUUCAUUUGAUAAAAACGACAGUGUUACCCCUUAUAUUUUAUUUGACAAAGACAACAGUGUUACCCCUUAUGUUUUUUUUCAUGAUGACCAAUAAAAAACAACAGUGUUACCCCUUAUGUUUUUUUCAUGACGACCAAUAAAAAACAACAGUGGUACCCAGGGGCGGACUGGCCAUCGGGAGGUUCGGGCGACUUCCCGAACGGCCGGACGAUUUCAGGCCGAGCCGGCCGGCCGUAAUUCUUUUAUUAUUUUUUUUAUUAUAAUUUUUUUUUUUUUUUUGUAAAAGAUGUAAAAAAAAAUGAAAAAGUUAAGUAAGUCGUGAUUUGCGGUGGCCUGCUGCCGGAUAUUCUUACUUACAGCGCGAAACGGAGCUCUUGCCUGAUGGUGAAACGGGGCCGAUGUAUUACUGUCAAUUUAGAGGGGGGAGCACCCCCACAGUGUAUGGGGGCAAAGCGAGCGGCCAAAGCAGCAGAGCAGCCGAACGGCCCCUCCCAACUUGGACUGCUCCGCGGUCUGUCAUUUCUGAUUGGCUCAGCCUGACACACGGCCGGGUCACUUACUUCUCGUUGAUCUCACUGAAGUUACACAGAAAUACGAAAAUGUCAAAAAGGAAAAAAGGUGGUGAAGAGGCAAAAGAAUUGGGUGGCGCUCAGAAGUUGAGGUUGAAAAGGAAAAAAAUGUUAGAGCAAGACGCAGCCAAAUGUGCUAAAUUAACCGACCUUUUCCGUGGAAAAGCCAAGGUUGACGGCGACGCCCCUGUCAGCGAGACCAAUGGUUCGGCGGGAACAGGACACAGCAGUAUAGCUAUGACAGGUGCACUAGCGAGCAUGUUUGGCAAUAUAAAAAUUACUUGAACUAAUUAUGGAAGUACCAGAGACGUCGGAGAACAAUUCAUAAUAUUGUAAUGCCCACGGAAGAGGCAGUGAAUGAAGUAUUGAUUAGAGAGCGAUUUAUUAGAUACCACCGCUAAUAAACCAUUGGAACACUUCAACACCAGUUACCACAGCAACGCACAACAAACCCCGGCCCGCCCCCCAUCUCCCAAAC